rnacentral:rRNA from 1 species
AUUGAACGCUGGCGGCAGGCCUAACACAUGCAAGUCGAGCGAGCGGCGGACGGGUGAGUAAUGUCUGGGAAACUGCCUGAUGGAGGGGGAUAACUACUGGAAACGGUAGCUAAUACCGCAUACCCUCAGAUGUGCCCCGAUGGGAUUCGCUCCUAGGUGGGGUAAUGGCUCACCUAGGCGACGAUCCCUAGCUGGUCUGAGAGGAUGAACAGCAACAAUGGGACUGAGAAACGGUCCAGACUCCUACGGGAGGCAGCAGUGGGGAAUAUUGCACAAUGGGCGCAAGCCUGAUGCAGCCAUGCGGCGUGUGUGAAGAAGGCCUUCGGGUUGUAAAGCACGUUCAGCGGGGAGGCGUUACCAGCAGAAGAAGCACCGGCUAACUCCGUGCCAGCAGCCGCGGUAAUAC